rnacentral:rRNA from 1 species
GGAAUUUUGGACAAUGGGGGAAACCCUGAUCCAGCGACGCCGCGUGUGGGAUGAAUGGGCUCUGCCCUGUAAACCACUGUCAGUAGGGAAGAAAAGGUCCUUUUAGGGCCUGGGACUGUACCUGCAGAGGAAGGACCGGCUAACUACGUGCCAGCAGCCGCGGUAAUACGUAGGGUCCAAGCGUUGUCCGGAAUUACUGGGUGUAAAGGGUGCGUAGGCGGAUUUGUGCGUCUUGGGUUAAAGACCCCGGCUCAACCGGGGAAAAGCCUAAGAAACGGCAAAUCUUGAGUGUGAGAGAGGAAGGUAGAAUUCCUGGUGUAGCAGUGAAAUGCGUAGAUAUCAGGAGGAAUACCAGUUGCGAAGGCGGCCUUCUGGCUCAUCACUGACGCUGAGGCACGAAAGCGUGGGGAGCAAACAGGAUUAGAUACCCCAGUAGUCCC